CCCGCCCGGCGGCGCCGAAAUCAAACCGCGCCAUGUCCAAGAAAAAAGGUCUGAGCUUUGAGGAGAAGAGAGCUCGCAUGAUGGAGAUCUUUUUUGAAACAAAAGAUGUGUUCCAGUUGAAGGAUAUAGAGAAGAUUGCUCCAAAAGAAAAAGGGAUUACCUCGAUGUCAGUGAAAGAGAUUCUGCAAAGCCUAGUUGAUGAUGGCAUGGUGGACACCGAUAGAAUUGGAACUUCUAAUUAUUUCUGGGCUUUUCCAAGUAAAGCUCUGCAUGCCAGGAAACGUAAAUUGGAGGAACUGGAGUCUCAGUUUGCUGAAAGCAGUCAGAAGAAAGAGGCUUUACAAAAAAGCAUUGAGAAAUCAAAAAUUGGACGUGAAGAUACUGCAGAACGUGCUGCUCUAAUGGAGGAACUUGCUGCCCUUCGACAGAAAAAAGAGCAGCUAAAGGCAGAAAUAGACAAAUACAGAGAAUGUGAUCCAGAUGUCGUUGAAGAAAUGCGCCAAACAAACAAAGUGGCCAAGGAGGCAGCCAAUAGAUGGACUGAUAACAUCUUUUCAAUAAAGUCCUGGGCCAAACGCAAAUUUGGAUUUGAAGAGAGCAGAAUUGAUAAAGAAUCACUUUCAUGUGGCCGACCUUCUACUUGUCAAGGAGCCUCAUGUAAUUUGUGGCCUGUAGUGGCUAGUACAUCAAGACUUCCUCUGGUACCUGUAGGGAUGAGGGUUUCUUACUGAUUUUACUGCUUUGGCUACUUUCCAAAUUCAAGAAGGAAAUGAAGAUGACCAGCUAUCUGGGCCCCAGGAUGCGUUUCAGCCAGAGCACUUGAUGCCAAGGCAGAGCCCAGUAAUCUGCAGUACAGUGUGGAGCUUCUCUCGAGGAAAACUUGUGAUUGCUCAGAGAUUAGUCAUGCAGAGACUCUGCGAACAAGCCUGGAACUCUACGUGUUUUGUAAUGUCUUGCUGCAGAAACAGCUGUCGUGUGUCAAAGUGAGAUGCGAGAUGCAGCUUUAGCCUGCUGUGAAGAAAAGGAGCUCACUCUGCAGCAUCAGGCGGCUUCAAGACUGAAGAGCUUUUGUGGAAAAAUGUGCUUCGGUCAAAC